rnacentral:misc_RNA from 1 species
AACGCAUAUGGCGCCCGCUAGUAUUCUAGCGGGCAUGCCUGUUCGAGCGUCAUUUCAACCCUUAAGCCCUGUUGCUUAGUGUUGGGAAUCUAGGCCUUCCGGGCCUAGUUCCUCAAAGUCAUUGGCGGAGUUAGGGUAUACUCUGAGCGUAGUAGUGUUCUUCUCGCUUUUGCAGUAGCCCUGGCGGCUGGCCGUAAAACCCCUAUAUCUUUUAGUGGUUGACCUCGAAUCAGGUAAGAGUACCCGCUGAACUUAA